rnacentral:rRNA from 1 species
CCUACGGGAGGCAGCAGUGAGGAAUAUUGGUCAAUGGCCGGAAGGCUGAACCAGCCAUGCCGCGUGAAGGUCAGUGCCCUAUGGGCGUUAAACUUCUUUUGUGCGGGAGCAAUAAUGGUCACGUGUGGCCAGACGAGAGUACCGUACGAAUAAGCAUCGGCUAACACCGUGCCAGCAGCCGCGGUAAUACGGGGGAUGCAAGCGUUAUCCGGAUUUAUUGGGUUGAAAGGGUGCGUAGUGUGUGUGGUAAGUCAGCGGUGAAAUGCCCCCGCUCAACGGGGUGAAGUGCCAUUGAUACUGCCUUGCUGGAAUGCGGAUGCCGUAGGAGGAAUGUGUGGUGUAGCGGUGAAAUGCAUAGAUAUCACACAGAACACCGAUUGCGAAGGCAGCUCACGAAUCCGCGAUUGACGCUGAUGCACGAAAGCGUGGGUAUCAAACAGGAUUAGAUACCCCGGUAGUC